CGGAAGAUAAUUGGGUUCCGCUGGAAUAGCUUUGUAUCAAAGGAGCAGUUACUAAGAGAGACUAGGUUGAGGAUUAUCACUUUCAUUGUGAGGGAGCGUCAGAUAUGACAUUUUGGCC